UUCUACGCAUGCUUGCUCUACACAAAUUAGUCAAUAACUAGGAAGAUACCUUUCUGUUGGCGUGUACUACAAAUAUUUAGAUACUUAAUUUUUGUUAAUAUCUAUAGUGCCAAAAGAUGAUGUUUAUUUUUCUAUUGUGUAUACAUUCAGAAAUAGCAUUUAGUUUUCGUGGACCUCAUCACCCUAGAAGCAGUAUCUCGCAUCACCAUUAUUCGCCACAAAGUGAAAUUAAACUUACGCAAGAUGAUGAACUUCUUCAUGAUACAUUACAUUUAACAGAAGAUUUAGGUCCGUUAGCAGAGCAAUUAGAUAUUACACAUAUGGCAGAACAAGAAAUAGAUUUCCACUAUUUUAAAUUACAUGAUAUGGAUAAUAACACCAAAUUAGAUGGGUUAGAAAUCUUGAAUGCAAUUCAACAUACGCUCCAUGAUCACAGUUAUGAAUCCUUUAGUAAUGAAACAAGCGAUGCUGAAGAUAAAGAACUAAUCGAGAAUAAAUUACCUUGGAUUGUUGCAGAACAAGAGAAAAGGGAGCAAGAGUAAGAAUAAUAUUAGCAAAAAUAACAAUAUUAUCUAUAGAAUAAUAUAAGCAGGAGACGCUUAUGUAUACUCUUGCCUUUGGUUAAAAUCGAAACUCUCAAAAACUCCUAGGCUAAAAUAUAAUAAUAGGUAUUGAUUUACCAAGCGCAAAAAUAAGUCUGUCGUUGCGCGCUUUCUCGCCUGCGAAACUCUUCUUUUAUGCCUGCCGCCGACAAACAGUGGACUGUAGAGAAAAAAGAAACCAAUAUUACGAAAUGUCGAGGCAACAACUGGAAAAUUAUAUAUUCCUUAUCGGAAUAACAUCAGAUCACAUUUCCGGAAACCAAUUACCAAGCAAGCAGCAAGUCUUACAAGUAUUGUUGUAUAAUAUUAAAACACUGAAGAAAUCUGUAAAAGAAAGUAUUAAAAUAGUAAUUGAUUAACUCCUAAUUUUUUGGAAAAAAGCUGAUAUUCCCACUAGUCAGCAUCACCGAUGUUCUCAAAAAUUGGAUUAUUUAUAUUCAGUUUAUCUCAAAAUAGUCAAAAAUAAACAUUUAGUUUCAAAUAAGAAGAAAGAAGAUUGUUUUUCCAAUCAAUUAAAAACGUUAUUUGAUAUUGCUCAUGGCGAUGCAUGGAAGAUGAUCGAUGGACCAAGAAAAACAUUUUUACUUGAUCAAUGAUCUGGUAGACUGCAAAAUUUAAACAGUUCAUCUGAUGCUGAAAUUAAAAAACACUCUAACGAGACACAAAGUAUGUCACGUCGCGAUUAAGAAUUAUUUCUACUGUUCCUCUAAAUAUUAUUAACAAAUCGGUAUUUAAUAAAUCAAUCAUCUUCAAGUUUAGAAACAGAUAAUUCGACUCGAGAAGAGGAGAUGCAUUCGUCAGAUUCAGGAGUCCCAUCUUUUAACUUGCAUCCCGAAAUUUUUUAUCACAAUAACGGUGAAAAUGAUAUUCAUAAUGCUAAUCAAAACCACGAAGACAAUCCUGUAAACAUAUCACAAGAAUCACGACCAUCUUUGGAAUCAAGCCAGUUCUUACAAUCUUCCGAAGAAACUAUUAUUUUGUCUCAACAAAGUACUGGCUCACAUUAUAAUCUCAGAGGUUGAAACUAUGAAUCGAGACAAAUUAGAGGACAGAUUAAUGUGAUGACUGAAAGAGUAGUCUCAGUAUUAGAUAACUGUAGAAUUUCAUACAGAAACUCUGUGCAUUUAAUAAGCGCUGUAGCCGAAGCCUUAAAUUAUAACACUGAUGAUUUAAUUUUAAAUAAAUCUUCCUAUAAUAGAUAUCGAACUAUUAUUUGCAAAGAAAAAUCGGAAAAGAUUAAAAAGUUAUAUGGCAAUACAGAAAUAAAUGCUGCAGUUCUUCAUUGGGACGGAAAAAUUAUUCCAGAUUCGAUAAUUGGUAAAAAUAUUGACAGAUUACGAAUUGUUGUGACUAAUGGUAAAAGUGAGAAAAUUAUAGAUGUACCAGCAUUACCAGACGGUAAAGGUGUAACGCAAGCCGACGCAAUUUACAGGGCUCUAAAUAAUUGGGGUUUAAAAAAAUCAAUUAAAGCGUUAUGUUGUGAUACAACUAAUUCUAAUUUAGGUUACCGCAAUGGCGCAGCCGUUAUUUUAGAGCAGUAUUUAGACCAUGAUCUACUUUAAUUACCUUGUCGUCACCACAUAUACGAAAUUAUUUUAGCUGGUGUAUUUGCUGACAAACUACCUGGUACAAACGGACCAAACGUACCAUUAUUUAAACGAUUUCACGAUAGUUGGAACAAUAUUGAUCAAAGUCAAUACGAAAGUGGACUACAUGAUAUCAAUCACCCACAAUUACUUGAACAAAUCGCUCACAUAAAAGCUUUUAUACAAAAAUCGUUAAACUCUCAAUGGCCUCGUGAUGAUUAUAAGGAGCUGCUUGAAUUAAGUCAAAUAUUUCUGGAAUGUGUACCACGUAAUAAGGUGAAAUUUAGAAUACCUGGAGCAUUUCAUCAUACACGUUGGAUGGCCAAAGCCUCAAUUCACUCAAAAUUUACAUGUUUCGCAGAUCGUAUUCUUUGACACCUAAAGAAAGAAAAGGUCUUUUUGACAUA